UACGUAGGGGGCAAGCGUUGUCCGGAAUCAUUGGGCGUAAAGCGCGCGUAGGCGGCCCUGUAAGUCCGUUGUGAAAGUCAAAGGCUCAACCUUUGAAAGCCGAUGGAUACUGCAGGGCUAGAGUCCGGAAGAGGCGAGUGGAAUUCCUGGUGUAGCGGUGAAAUGCGCAGAUAUCAGGAGGAACACCGGUGGCGAAGGCGGAUCUCUGGGCCAUUACUGACGCUGAGGAGCGAAAGCGUGGGGAGCGAACAGG
rnacentral:rRNA from 1 species